UACGUAGGGGGCAAGCGUUAUCCGGAUUUACUGGGUGUAAAGGGAGCGCAGACGGAACUGCAAGUCUGAUGUGAAAGCCCGGGGCUCAACCGCGGGACUGCAUUGGAAACUGUAGAUCUGGAGUGCCGGAGGGGCAAGCGGAGUUCCUGGUGUAGCGGUGAAAUGCGUAGAUAUCAGGAGGAACACCGGCGGCGAAGGCGGCUUGCUGGACGGCAACUGACGUUGAGGCUCGAAAGCGUGGGGAGCAAACAGGAUUAGAUACCCGUGUA
rnacentral:rRNA from 1 species